rnacentral:misc_RNA from 1 species
AAAUACUUUUUUAUUCAUACUCAGCAGCAAGUCAUGUCAAAGAAUAUGAUUAAGGAAACCAUGAAAUGCAACCAACGGGAAAACUGUGAUUAGCUAAAUGAUUAACUAAUAAAAUAAAAAAAAAUUAUAAUUGGUCCACUCAAUGUGAUUAUUAGAACAUAAUCUCAUAUGUGUUGUCAUCGUCAUGGUCUUCUGACCAAGAAAAUAAAUUAUUACUGAAAAGUAAUAUAAUUU